ACAGCCGCCCAGCGCCUCCGGGUAGAGCGCAACCGCUGCGGGGAGCGCGGCUCCUACCGGCGCCGGCGGGGCGCACAGCCCAGCGGUUGCCUGGGCUCUGCAGUUUGCAGCUCCGGGGUGCCCGGGCACAGGCGACCGUGGAGAGGAGAGGCCAGGAUGUGGGAGCACCGCACGGCACAGCCAUUAACUGGCGCGGCUCUGGACUGGAAUAUCGACUGCAGAAACGAGGACGCGCAGCUGGGAGCUCUGGAGGAGCUUGAGACUCCCUCCAGAAACGUGCCAGGCGCGGUGUUGGGAAUCCACCUAGGUGUUCACUCGGGAAAGAUAAGGCUGCGCCGCUUGGAAGGGCUCCACCCGCGUCCCUGCUGUACUUUGUACCCUGGAGAGUUGGCGGGUUCUGGCAGACGAGAGUUUAAAGGCUUGGGCGGGCGGGGACGCCAGCUCUUCUAAAUCCAGGUGAGGAGCUGCCGCCGUGCGAUGACCAGACCUGUCACCAACCCCAGGAACGGCAGGGCGACAUUCGAGUUUUUCCGGGAAGAGCUAGGAUGUCAGCUCUUUCUGAGGCUUGAUUUGUGAGCUGGCUCUGGGUCACGUGCCCAAACCAUUAGGAGAUAUCAAUGUAGGCAAGCCUGAAGCUCACUGACUUCAUUUAAGAAUCAAAACGGUUUUCCCGUAAGAAAGAAUGUAUGUUCCGUUAUCAGGAUUUUAAACGAACCCUGGGACUUACCACCAUUCUUACUCUAGGGUCUCUUUGGCUUUCCAACUGUUCCUGUGGAAGGAAGAAUCACACUCCAUGCAACUUCCCUGUUCCUUUUCAUAAACGUUGCUUUGCUCGGUAAGAUCCCUGCAAGCCUUUAUUUGAAACUAGCCUGUUCACAGGAAGAGUGACCCGCAGCAGCUUAGUGCUCUGCCUCCUUCAAGCUUUGCUGUCUCCAGUUUUUCCUUAGUUUCUCCUUCUCCUCAACCAGGCUGUGCCCGCUGUACUGUAAGUCUCAGUUUUCCUCCUCUCAGUAGAGUUUACUCCAAGGAGAGGCUAAACUCCUCAUGGAGGCUAUCUGUACCGGUCCAGAAUGAAGAAAUGGAUGCAGAAAUUAAAAACAAAAAAGUAUAUUUCCUAAUGCCCUGUUGCUUUAUCCAGGUAAUCACUUACAUAUACUGCAUGUGUUUUAGUUCCCAAAACUAAUUGUCUUGAACAGGAAAGAAUAACUUCUGUAGUGUGUUGAUGAUAGCAAUCAAAGACUAAAAUAAAUGACAGACUUUCAUAGGAA